rnacentral:rRNA from 1 species
AUGGCUAUGAGCUCGAGCGCCGUCGGCCUCAACCUAGGUGCUCCACCAACAGAGAAGCUCGCAAGGGGGAACUACCUCCUGUGGAAGGCGCAGGUCAUGCCGGCAUUGCAAGGCGCGCAAGUGACCGGUCUCCUCGACAGCAGCGAUGCCGCACCGCCAAAGACAACAGAAGUCACCAAGGCGGACAAAACCACGGCCAUAGAACCCAACCCUCUGUAUGGACCGUGGUUGUCGAAGGAUCAGCGGGUUCUGAGCUACCUGCUGAAUUCUCUCACGCAAGAAAUCCUGGUGCAAGUUAUCGGUAAGGACAGUACCUUUGAUCUCUGGACUGCUCUUACCACUCUAUUCGCCACGCAGUCGCAGUCCUGCAUAACCAAUCUUCGGAUGGCCAUCUCCAACACCAAGAAAGGAAACAUGUCAAGCAACGCCUUUAUCGCCAAGAUGAAAAACCUCGGGGACGAGCUAGCUGCGGCUGGGCGUCCUGUAACCGAUCCGGAGAUGGUGGACUACAUCCUUGCUGGCCUUGAUCGGGACUACGAUCCCAUCGUGGCAGCAGUCGGCGCUAUCAAGAACUCCAUCACCGUCGACGAUCUCUUCACGGAGAUCGCUGCAUUUGAUCAGCGGAUGGAGGUGCUGGGGGACGGUCCAGCAGGAUUCCGCUCGUCUGCCAACGCCGUCUGCAGGGGGCGCGGCCAGUCCCGUGGCAGGGGAGGUCGUGGCCGAAGCAACAGAGGAGGACGCGGUCAAGGAAACCGCUCCUCUCCUUCUCCGAGUCGUGGAGGUGGCGGCGGCGGUCAUCAGCAGCGCUUUUGCCCUCAACCACAACAACAGCAGCAGCAAGAAGGCGACUACCUGGAGUGCCAGAUCUGCUACAAGUUCCAUGCUGGCAGGGCAAGAGCCUGCUGGCAUCGCUACGACGAUGAUCAUGAAGAAAAGAAGGCAGCCAACCUCGUCACCAACAACUAUGGCAUCGAUACCAACUGGUAUGCAGACUCUGGCGCCAUUGAACAUAUCACAGGGGAGCUCGACAAGCUGACGAUGCGGGAAAGGUACCACGGCGGUGAUCAGAUACACACGGCAAGUGGAGCUGGACUUGGCAACGAGGAGGGUCAUCCUUAG